rnacentral:rRNA from 1 species
CGCAAGGGGAGCGGCAGACGGGUGAGUAACGCGUGGGAAUCUACCCAUCUCUACGGAACAACUCCGGGAAACUGGAGCUAAUACCGUAUACGUCCUUCGGGAGAAAGAUUUAUCGGAGAUGGAUGAGCCCGCGUUGGAUUAGCUAGUUGGUGGGGUAAUGGCCUACCAAGGCGACGAUCCAUAGCUGGUCUGAGAGGAUGAUCAGCCACACUGGGACUGAGACACGGCCCAGACUCCUACGGGAGGCAGCAGUGGGGAGUAUUGGACAAUGGGCGAAAGCCUGAUCCAGCCAUGCCGCGUGAGUGAUGAAGGCCCUAGGG